rnacentral:rRNA from 1 species
GUGGAUUAGAUACCCUGGUAGUCCACGCCCUAAACGAUGUCAACUGGAUGUUGGAGGGGUUAAACCCUUUAGUGUCGUAGCUAACGCGAGAAGUUGACCGCCUGGGGAGUACGGCCGCAAGGCUAAAACUCAAAGGAAUUGACGGGGACCCGCACAAGCGGUGGAUGAUGUGGAUUAAUUCGAUGCAACGCGAAAAACCUUACCUACCCUUGACAUGUCAGGAAUUCUGGAGAGAUCUGGGAGUGCCCGAAAGGGAGCCUGAACACAGGUGCUGCAUGGUCGUCGUCAGCU